rnacentral:rRNA from 1 species
GGAAUAUUGCACAAUGGGGGAAACCCUGAUGCAGCGACGCCGCGUGAGUGAGGAAGUAUUUCGGUAUGUAAAGCUCUAUCAGCAGGGAAGAAAAUGACGGUACCUGACUAAGAAGCCCCGACUAACUACGUGCCAGCAGCCGCGGUAAUACGUAGGGGGCAAGCGUUAUCCGGAUUUACUGGGUGUAAAGGGAGCGUAGACGGCUAGUCAAGUCAGAAGUGAAAGCCCAGGGCUCAACCUUGGGACUGCUUUUGAAACUGAGUAGCUAGAGUGCAGGAGAGGUAAGCGGAAUUCCUAGUGUAGCGGUGAAAUGCGUAGAUAUUAGGAGGAACACCAGUGGCGAAGGCGGCUUACUGGACUGUAACUGACGUUGAGGCUCGAAAGCGUGGGGAGCAAACA